GACGAACGCUGGCGGCGUGCUUAACACAUGCAAGUCGAACGGAAAGACCCUGCUUUUGUGGGGUGCUCGAGUGGCGAACGGGUGAGUAACACGUGAGUAACCUGCCCUUGACUUUGGGAUAACUUCAGGAAACUGGGGCUAAUACCGGAUAGGAGCUCCUGCUGCAUGGUGGGGGUUGGAAAGUUUCGGCGGUUGGGGAUGGACCCGCGGCUUAUCAGCUUGUUGGUGGGGUAGUGGCUUACCAAGGCUUUGACGGGUAGCCGGCCUGAGAGGGUGACCGGCCACAUUGGGACUGAGAUACGGCCCAGACUCCUACGGGAGGCAGCAGUGGGGAAUAUUGCACAAUGGGCGGAAGCCUGAUGCAGCAACGCCGCGUGCGGGAUGACGGCCUUCGGGUUGUAAACCGCUUUCGCCUGUGACGAAGCGUGAGUGACGGUAAUGGGUAAAGAAGCACCGGCUAACUACGUG
rnacentral:rRNA from 1 species